ensembl:lncRNA
AGGGGAGGAACCCCACGCAGGGGAACGGUUAGUGGCUUUGGGGUCUCUUUGGUGGCCCUGUUUGAAGGAGGAGGCAGGCCAAGGGUGCAGGGUCAGGCCCAGGGGCAGAAAGGGAUGAGGCGAUGACCACAGUCGGGGAUCCAGGCCCGGCAAGCGGCAGAGGUGCCGGAGAGGACCAGCCGCCGGGCAGAGAUCGAAGCAGAAAAACAUUUAUGGCCGCGCGCCCGAAAGCGGGGAGCAAGGCCGGGGCUCUGGUAGCCCUGGGAAGGUUGCCUUCCUGAGGUCUUUAAAAAAGAGGAGAGAGAGCGAGAGAGAGAGAGAGAAGGGAGGGGUUGGGGCGCCUUGAAUUUUCCUUCCCGGGCUUGGAGCGCAGCGCAUUUCUGUAAAGGAAGAGAAGAGCACCGCCCUGGAUCUUUCCACGUCCGCCUCAUUCUAUCCAGGCCUCUCCCCUUGCCCGAGCUCUCAGCCGCCACCAGGAGACUGACACGGAAGGGGCUUCUGGGCCGCCCCCCACCAACUCCUGCCUGGUUUCCCAAACUUCAGCGACCUCCAGCCCUCUUUGGGUGGAAAAUAGCAGGGCCCAGGCACCUCUUCUUCUUGUCAUUUGUGACCCGUGCUCUCAUCAGGAAUAUCUUACAAAGAAGGAGAGGAAGAAAGGCUGGCUAGAGCCCUGUUUAUAUCUAGUUCUGCAGAUCCCUUCACAUCUGGAGAGUUUAUUUAUAACUCCCACUAUAACUCUCUCUGUUUGGAGGCACUGGUGGCUCUAUUGACAGACUGAUGUCUAGAAAAUAUUGCUCUAUCUCUAACCAUAUCUAAAUGUGCUGCGGUUGUAUGUACAGAUUUAUGCUCGAGGGAAAUAUAAUUAUUUCCAUUGUAUUUGUGCAUAUACAAUAGUUAUAGGAGCAGAUUUAUAUAUGGGAAAAUAUAUGACUCUCUUAUAGCCAUCCAGCUUUAUGGACAUUUGAUAUCCUGACAGAUUUAUAGCUCUGAGCAGCUAUAUAGAUAAAUGCAUAUCGUGGAAAUUAUGUAUCAGGAGAUAUAUACUUAUUGAUUGUGAUAUAGAGUAGUUAGAGCAUUCACUUAGUGCCCUAUAUGGCUAUGGAGUUGUUUCUAUAUUAUUAUCACUAUAUAUAGGCAUAUCUAUUUAUAAUGACAUAGUUAUAAAAAUAGACAUAAGUAAUUAUA